rnacentral:rRNA from 1 species
UACGUAGGGGGCAAGCGUUGUCCGGAAUCAUUGGGCGUAAAGAGCGUGUAGGCGGCCCGAUAAGUCCGCUGUGAAAGUCCAGGGCUCAACCCUGGGAUGCCGGUGGAUACUGUCGGGCUCGAGUCCGGAAGAGGAGUGUGGAAUUCCUGGUGUAGCGGUGAAAUGCGCAGAUAUCAGGAGGAACACCGGUGGCGAAGGCGGGUCUCUGGGCCGAUACUGACGCUGAGGUGCGAAAGCGUGGGGAGCAAACAGG